rnacentral:rRNA from 1 species
UACGUAGGGUGCAAGCGUUAAUCGGAAUUACUGGGCGUAAAGCGUGCGCAGGCGGCUUUGCAAGACAGAUGUGAAAUCCCCGGGCUUAACCUGGGAACUGCAUUUGUGACUGCAUGGCUGGAGUGCGGCAGAGGGGGAUGGAAUUCCGCGUGUAGCAGUGAAAUGCGUAGAUAUGCGGAGGAACACCGAUGGCGAAGGCAAUGCCCUGGGCCUGCACUGACGCUCAUGCACGAAAGCGUGGGGAGCAAACAGG